rnacentral:rRNA from 1 species
UACGUAGGGGGCUAGCGUUGUCCGGAUUUAUUGGGCGUAAAGAGCGUGUAGGCGGCCAGGUAGGUCUGCUGUGAAAACUCGAGGCUCAACCUCGAGACGUCGGCGGAAACCAUCUGGCUAGAGUCCGGAAGAGGAGAGUGGAAUUCCUGGUGUAGCGGUGAAAUGCGCAGAUAUCAGGAAGAACACCCGUGGCGAAGGCGGCUCUCUGGGACGGUACUGACGCUGAGACGCGAAAGCGUGGGGAGCGAGCAGG